GUGCUUACUUUGGCAACACAUAUACUAAAAUUGGAAUGAUACAGAGAUUAGCAUUGUCCCUGGUCAAGGAUGACACACAAAUUCAUGAAGCAUUAUAUAUAUAU
ensembl:snRNA U6 U6 spliceosomal RNA